rnacentral:rRNA from 1 species
AGGGCAAGCGGCGGAUGCCUUGGCGCCAAGAGGCGAAGAAAGACGUGGUAAGCUGCGAUAAGCUUCGGGGAGCUGCUAAACGAGCGUUGAUCCGGAGAUUUCUGAAUGGGGGAACCCGGCGUGGAUAAUACCGCGUCAUCAUGCACUGAAUACAUAGGUGUAUGAGGCUAACCAGGUGAACUGAAACAUCUUAGUAACCUGAGGAAGAGAAAACAAUAGUGAUUCCCUGAGUAGCGGCGAGCGAACGGGGAGAAGCCCAAACCGUGUGUCUUCGGAUGUGCGGGGUUGUAGGACCGUCAUAACGCGAUCCAAGAUUAGAUAGGAGAGUGAUCUGGAAAGAUCAGCCAUAGAGGGUGAAAGCCCCGUAUCUGAAAUCGAAAUUGGCGUAGACGGCACCUGAGUAGGACGGGACACGAGAAACCCUGUCUGAAUCUGGGAGGACCAUCUCCCAAGGCUAAAUACUACUUGGCGACCGAUAGUGAACAAGUACCGUGAGGGAAAGGUGAAAAGCACCCCGGUGAGGGGAGUGAAAUAGAACCUGAAACCGCUUGCUUACAAGCAGUGGGAGCUGAUUUUUAUCAGUGACCGCGUGCCUUUUGCAUAAUGAGUCAGCGAGUUAUUGUAUGUAGCGAGGUUAAGCCGAUAGGUGUAGCCGUAGCGAAAGCGAGUCUGAAUAGGGCGAAUUAGUUGCAUGCAGUAUACCCGAAACCAGGUGAUCUAUCCAUGUCCAGGGUGAAGCGUGAGUAAAAUCACGUGGAGGCCCGAACCGAUAUACGUUGAAAAGUAUUCGGAUGAGGUGUGGAUAGGGGUGAAAGGCCAAACAAACCUGGAAAUAGCUGGUUCUCCCCGAAAUGUAUUUAGGUACAGCCUUGCGUUUGAUUUACGGGGGUAGAGCACUGAAUGGGCUAGGGGUCUUACCGGAUUACCAACCCCAAUCAAACUCCGAAUACCGUAAAAUUUUAUCGCAGGAGUGAGACUACGAGAGCUAACUUCCGUGGUCGAGAGGGAAACAACCCAGAUCACCAGCUAAGGUCCCAAAAUUCAUGCUAAGUGGGAAACGAGGUGGAAAUGCACAGACAACCAGGAGGUUGGCUUAGAAGCAGCCAUCCUUUAAAGAAAGCGUAAUAGCUCACUGGUCGAGUGAGUCUGCGCGGAAAAUGUAGCGGGGCUAAAGCAUGAUACCGAAGCUGUGGAGUGGACGAAAGUUCAUUGGUAGGGGAGCAUUGCAUACGGGCUGAAGGUGUAUUGUGAGGUACAUUGGACUGUAUGGAAGAGCCCAUGCUGACAUGAGUAGCGAUAAAGCGGGUGAAAAGCCCGCUCGCCGAUAGCCUAAGGUUUCCUGGGUAAAGUUAAUCUGCUCAGGGUUAGUCGAUCCCUAAGCCGAGGCCGAAAGGCGUAGGCGAUGGAAAACAGGUUAAUAUUCCUGUACCACCUGAUAGCCGUUUGAGUGAUGGGGGGACGCAGGAGGGUAGGUUGGCCGUCUGUUGGAAUAGGCGGUUUAAGCGAGUAGGCUGAAGAGAUAGGCAAAUCCGUUUCUUCUUAAGGCCGAGACGUGAUGACGAGAGCGUAAGCUCAUAAAGUGACUGAUCCCAUGCUGCCAAGAAAAGCCUCUAGCGAGGAUAUUGGGUGAUCGUACCGCAAACCGACACAGGUAGGCAGGAAGAAAAUUCCGAGGCGCUUGAGAGAACCCUGGUUAAGGAACUCGGCAAAAUAACACCGUAACUUCGGGAGAAGGUGUGCCCAUGGUAAGUGAAGCGACUUGCUCGCGGAGCUGGAGUGGGUUGCAGAUAAAUGGCGGUAGCGACUGUUUACUAAAAACACAGGACUCUGCAAAGUCGAAAGACGAAGUAUAGGGUCUGACGCCUGCCCGGUGCUGGAAGGUUAAGGGGAUUUGUUAGGGCAACCGAAGCAUUGAACCGAAGCCCCAGUAAACGGCGGCCGUAACUAUAACGGUCCUAAGGUAGCGAAAUUCCUUGUCGGGUAAGUUCCGACCUGCACGAAUGGCGUAACGACUUCCGCACUGUCUCGACCAGGGACUCAGCGAAAUUGCAGUCUCGGUGAAGAUACCGAGUACCCGCGAAAAGACGGAAAGACCCCGGCACCUUUACUAUAGCUUGACAUUGGGUUUAGGAACAUCAUGUGUAGGAUAGGUGGGAGGCUUUGAAGCAGGGACGCCAGUCUUUGUGGAGCCAACCUUGAAAUACCACCCUUGUUGUUUUUGAAUUCUAACGACGAUCCGUGAUCCGGAUUUUGGACAGUGUCUGGCGGGUAGUUUGACUGGGGCGGUCGCCUCCCAAAGAGUAACGGAGGCGCGCGAAGGUUCCCUCAGGCUGAUUGGAAACCAGCCGUUGAGUGUAAAGGCAUAAGGGAGCUUGACUGCGAGAGAGACAUUUCGAGCAGGUACGAAAGUAGGUCUUAGUGAUCCGGCGGUUCUGUAUGGAAGGGCCGUCGCUCAUCGGAUAAAAGGUACGCCGGGGAUAACAGGCUAAUCGCAUCCAAGAGUUCACAUCGACGAUGCGGUUUGGCACCUCGAUGUCGGCUCAUCACAUCCUGGGGCUGGAGCAGGUCCCAAGGGUUCGGCUGUUCGCCGAUUAAAGUGGUACGCGAGCUGGGUUUAAAACGUCGUGAGACAGUUUGGUCCCUAUCUUUCGCGGGCGUAGGAUAUUUGAAGAGAUCUGUUCCUAGUACGAGAGGACCGGAAUGGACGAACCACUGGUGUUCCAGUUGUCGCGCCAGCGGCAUGGCUGGGUAGCUAUGUUCGGUCUGGAUAACCGCUGAAAGCAUCUAAGCGGGAAGCCGUCUCUGAGAUAAGAUAUCCCACCUGAAUAAUCAGGCUGAAGACCCCUUGAAGAUUACGAGGUUGAUAGGCUGGAUGUGUAAGCAUGGUAACAUGUUGAGCUUACCAGUACUAAUAGGUCGUGAGGCUUAGCC